ACGAGCGUAUCUCAGCUGCCUUAUAAGCAGUGCAUUGUAGAGUAAUGGUGCAUGUGGGUUCAAGCCCCAUCGCUCGUACCA
rnacentral:tRNA from 2 species